GUUGAUAUUCCUGUACCCGUUGUUUUUGUUUGAGCAAUGGAGGGACGCAGGAGGCUAAGGAAUGCAGACGAUCGGAAAUGUCUGUCCAAGCAGUAAGUCUGAAGAGGAGUCAAAUGCUUCUUUUCUUAAGGACAAGCUGUGAUGGGGAGGGAAAUAAUAGUACCGAAGUUCCUGAUGUCACACUGCCGAGAAAAGCUUCUAGUGAGAAAACAGCGGCCCGUACCGCAAACCGACACAGGUAGUCGAGGAGAGAAUCCUAAGGUGAGCGAGAGAACUCUCGUUAAGGAACUCGGCAAAAUGACCCCGUAACUUCGGGAGAAGGGGUGCUGAUCAUACGAUCAGCCGCAGUGAAUAGGCCCAAGCGACUGUUUAUCAAAAACACAGGUCUCUGCAAAAUCGUAAGAUGAAGUAUAGGGGCUGACGCCUGCCCGGUGCUGGAAGGUUAAGAGGAGUGCUUAGCGCAAGCGAAGGUACGAA
rnacentral:rRNA from 1 species